rnacentral:rRNA from 1 species
GUGAGGAAUAUUGCGCAAUGGGGGAAACCCUGACGCAGCAACGCCGCGUGGGUGAUGAAGGCCUUCGGGUCGUAAAGCCCUGUCAGGUGGGAAGAACGCUAUAAGGUGAAGAGCCGAGUAGUUUGACGGUACCAUCGGAGGAAGCACCGGCCAACUCCGUGCCAGCAGCCGCGGUAAUACGGAGGGUGCAAGCGUUGUUCGGAAUCACUGGGCGUAAAGGGCGUGUAGGCGGUUAAUCAAGUCAGAUGUGAAAGCCCUGGGCUUAACUCAGGAAGUGCAUCUGAGACUGGUUAACUAGAGUACAGGAGAGGAAGGUGGAAUUCCUGGUGUAGGGGUGAAAUUCGUAGAUAUCGGGAAGAACACCGGUGGCGAAGGCGGCCUUCUGGCCUGAUACUGACGCUGAGACGCGAAAGCGUGGGGAGCAAACAGGAUUAGAAACCCCUGUAGUCC